AACGAACGCUGGCGGCGCGCCUAAUACAUGCAAGUCGAGCGAGAAGACGUAGCAAUACGUUUGUAAGGCGGCGAACGGGUGAGGAAUACAUGGGUAACCUACCCUCGAGUGGGGAAUAACUAGCCGAAAGGUUAGCUAAUACCGCGUACGCUCCUUGGACUUCGGUUCAGGGAGGAAAGCGAUACCGUGGGUAUCGCGCUCUUGGAUGGGCUCAUGUCCUAUCAGCUUGUUGGUGAGGAACGGCUCACCAAGGCUUCGACGGGUAGCUGGUCUGAGAGGACGAUCAGCCACACUGGCACUGCGACACGGGCCAGACUCCUACGGGAGGCAGCAGUAAGGAAUAUUGCGCAAUGGGCGAAAGCCUGACGCAGCGACGCCGCGUGGGGGAGUGAAGGUCUUCGG
rnacentral:rRNA from 1 species